CCUACGGGUGGCAGCAGUGAGGAAUAUUGGUCAAUGGCCGGAAGGCUGAACCCGCCAAGCCGCGUGAGGGAGGAAGGCGCAGAGCGUCGCAGACCUCUUUUGCCGGGGGACAACAGGCCGGACGGGUCCGGUUCUGAGGUUACCCGGCGAAAAAGCAUCGGCUAACUCCGUGCCAGCCGCCGCGGUAAUACGGGGGAUGCGAGCGUUAUCCGGAUUCAUUGGGUUUCAAGGGUGCGCGGGCGGGCCUUUAAGCCGGCGGUGAAAUCGCGGGGCUCAACCCCGCCGAGCCGUCGGAACUGGGGGCCGUGAGUGCGGCGGAGGCAUGUGGAAUGCGCGGUGUAGCGGUGAAAUGCAUAGAUAUCGCGCAGAACCCCGAUGGCGAAGGCAGCGGGCCGUGCCGCAACUGACGCUGAGGCACGAAAGCGCGGGGAUCGAACAGGAUUAGAUACCCCAGUAGUC
rnacentral:rRNA from 1 species